rnacentral:tRNA from 1 species
GCCUUUAACUCAGUUGGUAGAGCAUGAGACUCUUAAUCUCAUGGUUGUGGGUUCGAGCCCCAUAUUGGGCA